GACAGAGGGUGCAAACGUUGUUCGGAAUUACUGGGCGUAAAGCGUGUGUAGGCGGCCAUAUAAGUCGGAUGUGAAAGCCCUGGGCUCAACCCAGGAAGUGCACUCGAUACUGUAUGGCUUGAGUACUGGAGAGGUUGGUGGAAUUCUCGGUGUAGAGGUGAAAUUCGUAGAUAUCGAGAGGAACACCGGUGGCGAAGGCGGCCAACUGGACAGAUACUGACGCUGAGACACGAAAGCGUGGGGAGCAAACAGG
rnacentral:rRNA from 1 species